GCAGUCAGGCUGGUCGGGCGGCAGUGUCGGGCAGACCUGGUGGUGAGAGCAUCUACCUCGCCGCUCCUGCAGCACGCCAGCACCGCCCCUCCUUGUCCUGCCGCUGGUCCCCGCCACCCACGCCGCCCGGACCUCCCUGUGCCCAGGGCGAGGGGGCCAGGCCAGGGGCAGGGUCACCACGACCCACCGGGGCCACAGGUGCCCACUGCUGGCCGCUGCCACGCAGAAGUGACGGACAACCACAGUGUUGGUGACGGAACGCCGUGCCCAUGGUGAAGCCGCUGCGUGGACCAAGAGAGAGAGAGAGAGAGAGAGAGAGAGCACCAAGUUACGCUCGACUAUCUUCAAGUGACGUGGGAGGUGUAGGCGCCCUGUAACACCCUCCUUCACCCUGCUACACCCUGCUAUUCCCUGCUACACCUCGCCCAUCACCUAGAGAGAAGGUGCAAGAGUUAAAGGAGCGGCGCGUGCAGAGAGGUGAAGCCCUGAGCCACCCAACCCAACCAGAUAGAAAGGAAACAUGAGAUUGCCUGACGCUACCCUGAACGCUGGCCUUGAAAAGUGUGAAGUGGCUGUGAGGAGAGUGUGAAGUGUGCGGCGAGGAGUGUGUGGUGUGUGGCGAGGCUGGUGGUCUGUCCGGCGGUGAGUGCGUGUCUGGGUUCUGUGGUGUUAGUGCAGGUGGUCGUGGUAGUAGUGGUGACAGUGAAGUGGUGGGGACGUGUUGGACGGUGAAAAAGUGGCCACACACACACACGCACACACACACACACACACACACACACACACACACACACACACACACAUACACACACACGGGAGUUGGUGCGUGGGCGGGCAGGCGAGGAGUGGUGUCCGCGCGUCCCGGGAGAGCAGAGAGAAGAGAGAAGGGAGAAGGAGGUAGUGGUGGUGGUGCUGGUGCCAUGAGUGGAAGCUUGACGCAUGCCUAGGUGCUCCUCCCGCCUCCUCCCGCCUCCUCCCGCUGCCGUGCCGCUGAACAGACCUUCCCCAGACCGCUUCAGUCCCCCACGCGACGCACCAGCCCUCGCUCAACACACACUUGCCUUCUGUGCACACCUGUCCACUCAACGAAGCGGGCCAGGUGCAAUCAUCAGUCCUGACCUCUAGUACCUGGCGGCCCACUGAAGCAUGUGACGGGAAUUGCCACUCAGGGUCAGCUCACGGAAAGGACACAGGGAACUCUGAACUUUGACCUGCGUGGUAGUUGGUGUCACCUGAAGGCCACACAGGCGUCAUAACAGACUCACCAUGGCCCCGCGCACCGCCACCAGCACCCCACCACAGCGGCAGCAGCAGUCGUGGCGGCGGCUAGACUGCAGCGCCCGGUGUGACGCCCUUCGGCAGGCAACAGAAGAGUCUUGUUGCGCCGUGCCCGCCGCGGCGAGGCUGCAGAUGAUGGCCCAGAAAGGCAGACACACGGCGGGGCGGCGCGGCGAAGGAGCAGCGUCACGGUGUCCCAGAAUAGCCUCCGCGGCCCUUUGUGUCGACCCCGAGAGGCCGCUGCCCUGCCCGGCGGCCUCGACCUCAGCUGCGGGCAGGGUGAUGACGGCAGGGGGAGGGGAGGCGCCUGCAGCUGGCGCGACUCACGUGUCACGCAGACCCCUGGACGGAGUGGAGACGGUAGUGCGUCGUGGAGCGCUCCCUGCCCCUCCCUGCGCCCUUGCCCCCUCCCUCCCCGCCCCGCUGAGAUCAAAAUUGGACUCCUCUGAAGUGCUUGCAUCCCGUGACCACCCGGCCCGGCCCCGCCCGUCCUUCCCGCUGACCUCAAGGCCUCGCCACCUCUGCGUGUCGCCCGCAAGGCCGCCGUGCACACCCCGGAGGCUAGACACGCGCUGGGCCCUGCUGGCUGCCAGCCUCAUGCUGCUCCACCUGCUGUCUGGCGUCCCUGCUGCCAGCGCCCAGGUGCAGGGUGAAUCCAUGAGGUGUCACCAGGAGGGCGCCGCUAUUCCUGUGCCGCCUGAGGUAGAGAAGGACAACCCCUGCAUCUCCUGUUCCUGUCAGAACAAGAUUGUGGUGUGUAGGAAGCAGCCGUGUCCCAGUCUGGAAGGAUGCUACUGGAAGAUGACUCAGGAACCUCGACAAUGUUGCCAGCAGUGUAAAGGCUGCAUCCACGAGGGCGUCUGGCAUCCUCACGGGGCUCGCUGGGCUCAGAACGCCACCCACUACCACUGUCUGGCCGGCGUCCUCACCAAGACGGAAACUCACUGCCAUCUGCCCUGUGACUCCCCCGUGCCAGCCAGCGACGGUGCCUUCUGUCAGAGCUGCCCAGGUUGCUGGCUGGAGGGGCGCCGCGUGCUGGAGGGCGAGACUGUGGCUUCACGUGCCGACCCCUGCGUCUCCUGCACGUGCUCCGGGGACCGUCUCACGUGUCAGAAGAGGGCGUGUCCCGUGCUCUCGUGCCCACCAACUCGCCGUGUUAUGACCCCUGGGAGUUGCUGUAUGACUUGCCAAGGCUCUCGAGGACUGAUCACACCGCCGGGCGAGCGUUGCUUCCUGUCUGGCUUCCUGUACACCACGGGCAUGCAGCGCACCCUGGACCAUUGCACCACUUGUACCUGCCACAAGAACUACAUCACCUGCGAGCGCACCACCUGCCCCGUGCUGAACUGCCCGCGGGAGGACCAAAUGACCCCCGAGGAUGAGUGCUGCCCCGUGUGCGUGAAGAGACCUUACAGCGGGAAGACUGAGAACUGCACCAUCCACGGCAUGACACGCAGGAACGGGGAGCAGUGGCAGCUAGACCAGUGCGCCACGUGUCAGUGCACCAACGGUAGUGUGGAGUGCGAGUUUAUGAAGUGUCCCUACAUGAACAAACCGUGUCCGCCUGGCUACAGGCGCGUGGAGUCGGAGGAUGAGUGCUGUCCGCGAUGUGAGGAGGCGCCCGGCGUGUGUGUGGUGUUUGGGGACCCCCACUACCGCACCUUUGACGGAAUGCUCUUCAAUUUCCAGGGCGCCUGCAAGUACACCCUGGCCGAAACCUGCCGCGGCGUGCCCAGGUCGUCCAGAUUCAGCCUCAAAGUGAACAACGACGCCCGACGCUCCAAUAACUUCUCGUGGACCAAAAGCCUCACCCUGCGACUCCCCAACGCCAAGGUGAAGCUGUGUCAAAAGCUUCGAGUCAAGGUGAACGGUACAGUGGUGAAGCCUCCGUUUGAAGCCCCCGGAGUGAUGAGCCUCAAGAAGGAAGGGCGCGCCGUCACCCUCACUACUCCUGAAGGCGUGAGUGUGCUGUGGGACGGCCUGAGCUAUGUAGAAGUGGAGGUGCCGCGUUCAAUGCAGGGCCACACGUGCGGGCUUUGCGGGAACUACAAUGGCAACGAGACGGACGAUAUGGUGACUAAGAGAGGCGUGAGAGCUGACGGGGCCUCGCAAAUGGCAGUAUCGUGGGCAGUAGGGAGGGCCAGAAAGUGUUCCCUCAGGAUGAACAGACACAACGCCUCCCAGAAUGGUCCAAGGAGGAGACCACAGAGAUUGACUUGCUCCGAGACUCACAGGCCGGGGCAGAAUGAGUGUGGCCUCCUCAACAGCACUGUGUUUCAAGCUUGCCAUGCUGUUGUCCCCUUUGAGAAAUUCUACGAGUCGUGUAUGCUGGACAUGUGUGAGUGCAAGUCGCCGCGCCGCUGUGAGUGUGACACCCUACAAGCAUACGCGAGGCAGUGUCAGCGUGCGGGCAUCGAGGUGGAGGAGUGGCGCAAGAUCAGUGGCUGUGGAGGUCUGAAGUGCCCCCACGGUGCCAAAUACAUGGAAUGCGCCCCGUCCUGCCGCGCCACCUGCCGGAACCCGACGCCCAAUCCUAAGUGCCACCAGAAGCGGUGCCGCCCAGGUUGCUACUGCCCGCCGCCCACCGUGCUGCACCGCGGGGCAUGCAUACCGGCCACGGAGUGUCGGAGGGGCAAGCGGCGAAGAAGGAACCGCCGCAGGAACCGCUGAAGUGACGGGGCUGGUCGGGCGAGCGGGAGUCGGGUGGCGGUGAUGCUGGUGGUGGUGACGGUGGUGGUGACGGUGAUGGGGGGACUGUACUAAACGAGACGCCUCCUCUUGUGUGUGUGUGUGUGUGUGUGUGUGUGUGUGUGUGUGUAAUAUGCAUUCACAUUUGUGCUUACAUGUACACUUUUCUAUUAUCUAUGUACGAAACUUCCCAUAUAUAUAUAACAGUGUAGUUGGUCUAAUGUGUGUGUGUGUGUGUGUGUGUGUGUGUGUGUGUCCUAUAAUAAUAUCCGUUCGCUGUUGUUUGACGUUACUAUAGUAUAUAUAUACAGAUGCAAUCCAUAAAAAAGAGCAAAAAUAAUUCAUUGUUUGUGCUUUGAUACAAAAAAAUACUUGCUGCCAGUAUCCUUUCAAAAACUAUUGUGUUGAGGGAAGGCACGGGAGGAGGAGGAAGACAACAAGGAGGAGGAGGAGGAGAAGAGGGUGAUGCACGUGCCUGCUGCGUGCUGUCACCGCGUUAUCAUAUCACGUGAUGUGCCAGAAAGGAGUGCAGUGAGGACACGAGGAUGACCCAGUGUUGUGUGGUUUGUAUCGUGAAAGGAAGAGAGGAAAUUCAAGAAAAAAAGAUAGGAAGAAAAUGUUGAAGAAACGGAGAAAGAGAAGGGAGAGAAAACGAAGAAAUGAAAGAAGUUAAAAAAGUUAUUGAAACCAGUUAUCAUUGUAAGCACCAACUUCUACAUGAUGUAAAUGUGUGUGUGUGUGUGUGUGUGUGUGUGUGUGUGUGUGUGUGUGUGUGUGUGUGUGUGUGUGUGUGUGUGUGUGUGUGUCUCAAGGGGUCGAGGCAGGAGGAGAGAAGUGGACGUGACAAAGUUCCUACACUGAUGAUGUGAUGACGUAAAAUAUUUUCCAGCAAGGAUGUAAAAAAAAAGAAAGAAAAGAAAAGUAAAAAAAGGUUGGUACUGGUGACUGACCCUUGUUUAUCUGUCUGUCUGUCUGUCUGUCUGUCUGUCUGUCUGUCUGUCUGUUGGUUGUAACACUGAGAUGACUGUUCACACACGCACCAGAUUAUUAUUUUGGUUUGUACUGAAACUGAAAUUAGUAAGCAAGAUUCGCCUUCCGCACGCAGACCAAAGUGUUUCUCGUUCCCCGUUUUGUUGUUGUGUGCUGUCCUGUCGGGAGAAUAUGGCGUGGCGGCGGCGGCGGCGGACACAAGUGAUAUGAUAGUGGUAGCUAGUAACUAAACAAAUACCUGGUCUAGAUCCAUACUCUAUGUAUUAUUAAAAAAGCCGAACGUGAGCUGUGAAAAGACAGAGUGUUUCCGUUUCACUGCCUGAGAGGUUUUACACUGUGGAGAUGCACCAAAGACUAAUUAAUAUACUGCGAGGACUUGGCUUGGAUAGCAGCCGGCGACACACGGACACACGGAAAGCUGAAGAGAGUUCGAUCCCUUGAGAAGAACCAAGCUUACUGAGAGCACCGAGGAAGAUCUGUAUUCCUCCCUUGAGUGAAGAGCAAGAUGAGGAAGGAAGGCUUGUUACUUUAAGACUUUCAAUGAUACGUCAGUGAAGGACGAAGUGAGUUUCGGAGGACAGAGUACAGCGAUGGAAGAAUAAGGACUCGAUUCUACAAGACGGUGCCAUAUGACCGUUCUGUGACGCUUAAGUUAACCAAGAAGCCAUGGAUUUGAAGACUAUCGGGUAUGUUACUAAAGACAGGACCAAGUGAGUAGAGGAGAGCAGUGAUGGACGUAUUGCUACCUAACCCAGUGACAGGCGCGGCUGUGUGGGACGCGGGGAAACAUAACAGUCAGAGGCGGGAGAGAAGCCGCGGCGACACACAACCAGGCAGUGAAACGUGUGGUAAUGUUGCCAACUGGGGCCAGAUACUCGUAAUGCAAACUGUUUUAUUAGAUAAGAUGUAACCCUUAAGUGCAGCAGGAAAGAGAACGAUGUCCGGUGAGAGAAAGACUAAAGACAAAACCUGCCAUAUGACCAAUUAUGGAACCAAACAGUAGAGUUGUGUCAGAGUCGAGAUAAAGACUCCGCUCUUGAACCACGGAACUGAAGCAUGGUUAGUAUUUGCCCCAAACUCAUCUGCCAACCAAGCAAACAUACCCAUGCGGCUUGGAAUCAGACCCACACUCCUGGAAGCUAUGGCAGUGCAAGCAUCGUGUUCUUAUGAGCUGCUGGGUGACUGUGAGGCGCUCUGGAACCCGUGAAACAACCGAUAUGUGAAACAGUUGCUCGAACCAUGUUGUCUAGUCUCGAAGAAAAAAGUGGAAGACACGUUGCAGUGAUGUUUACUGUGUUAGUAUCGCCUGGCUGGCGGAGUGUGGAGGUGGAAAGCAAGACGUGUGGCUUGUGGCUGCAAAUUAUGUGAGUAAUUUUACCAUUGGGUUAAGAUAUAUUGAUACUUUUAUGUUUUCAGUUGCAGACAAUACUCCCGUUUUACUUUAUAGUACCGUUCUUAUUCUUAAUUCUCGACGAAUGACGUUGUGUUAUAAUUCCGAAUAUUCAAUAUGGCGAGAUCUGAUACCUGGUACUGCCUUGGCUACGUGUACUGUCUAAAAUUCAAUAAAGCAAAAAUCAGUAAGGAAAUGACAUAAUUCUCCCGUGCUAGUAAAAUGAAGCUGAGACUUUUUAAAUACCACAAGAAAAAUGCUAUUUUCAGAUAAAAACCACGUCAUAAACAAAAAUUCCACUAAACUCACUGCUACUAACAAUCAGAAGCGAAAGAAAACGAAAUAGCAUUAUGAUAAGCAAAACAGAACUGAAAAUUUUGAAAUGGGUAUUGUAAGAGUAUCAGGUUUGCAUAGACAUGUGGGAAAUAGACAUACUGAAUUAAAACUGACAGCUAGUAACACUCAAAAGACAACGCAAAACUAGACUGCAUUAUGACACUCGUAGUAGCGAAAUGAAGCCGUUAAGUCUGAAUGUCACAAAAACUUAUAAAGCAGAAAUACUACAAUAAUUACUAGACUGACUGGAAUCAAGGUAAAAGGAAAAAAAAAAACUGCAUUAAUAAUCGGCAUGUUCUGGUGAGUGUCCCGCACAGCCCCGUUGGUCACGCCUCCACCAGGGACGUGAAUGUGGUGUCGCCUAGGGGAGGGAGGGACGUGUGGGUGUGGUGGUGGUGAGGUGUGGUGUGGUGUUAUUGAAGGAAAGGCUUGUGAUGAUCGCCUCGACUACUGCGUUGAUAUUGUUAACUAUUAAUCAUACUACUACUAUUUCUACUACCAUUACUACUACUACUACUACUACUACUACUACUACUACUACUACUACUACUACUACUACUACUACUACCUGCUCCAUGUUGUUGUCGUUCGUUCUUUCUUUUAGUUUGUUCUUUAUCAAUAUUAUUAUUUUGUUACUACUAUCAUUAUUAUUUUUAUUAUCAUUAUUAUUAUUAUCAUUAUUAUUAUUAUAUCCAGUACCAGUUCAUAUUGUGGUUAAUUUAGGCAUUUCUUCUUCUGUCUCAUGUUUCAUCUAACUUGCUAUUCAUACAUCAAAAAAAUUGUAUUGUAUUUUUGUUACCAUUAUAUUUUCUUUUUGUAGUGUAUUGCUCUACUCACUAUUACCAGACGCCGUUUUCUGUUACUUUGUAGAUAUUAUGCACCAUAGCUUCCAUUAUUACCUUUAUCAUUCAUGUUUUUUUGUUUUUUUGUUUUUGUAUAGUUUUAUAUACGUGUAGGUAAAAGUUGAUAUUUAAUUUUUCUCCUAUGUUACGUCAACUCUAUAUUAUAUCACCAUAGUUCUCUCCACUGUAACGUUACGCUAUUUAAACAAAAAAGAAAAGAAAACGUAGAAUAAAAAAAAUGCAUAAUAGUAAUAGGAGACAUUGCAAGAAAUACUUAAAUGUGUGUGUUCCAUAAUAUAUUCUCAUUUUUUUAUACUUUGAGCAAUUAUGAUGAUCUGCUGUAGUUGUGCCUCAAGACGAUGGCUGUAAGUGGCGUCCCUGGAUAGAUGUGCUGAUACUCUUCUAGUAAACGUUUAACUGUGAA
rnacentral:misc_RNA from 1 species